AUGAACGCUGGCGGCGUGCCUAAUACAUGCAAGUCGAGCGAACAGACGAGGAGCUUGCUCCUCUGACGUUAGCGGCGGACGGGUGAGUAACACGUGGAUAACCUACCUAUAAGACUGGGAUAACUUCGGGAAACCGGAGCUAAUACCGGAUAAUAUAUUGAACCGCAUGGUUCAAUAGUGAAAGACGGUUUUGCUGUCACUUAUAGAUGGAUCCGCGCCGCAUUAGCUAGUUGGUAAGGUAACGGCUUACCAAGGCAACGAUGCGUAGCCGACCUGAGAGGGUGAUCGGCCACACUGGAACCGAGACACGGUCCAGACUCAUACGGGAGGCAGCAGUAGGGAAUCUUCCGCAAUGGGCGAAAGCCUGACGGAGCAACGCCGCGUGAGUGAUGAAGGUCUUCGGAUCGUAAAACUCUGUUAUUAGGGAAGAACAAAUGUGUAAGUAACUAUGCACGUCUUGACGGUACCUAAUCAGAAAGCCACGGCUAACUACGUG
rnacentral:rRNA from 1 species